UACGUAGGGAGCAAGCGUUGUCCGGAAUCAUUGGGCGUAAAGCGCGCGUAGGCGGCCCUGUAAGUCCGUUGUGAAAGUCAAAGGCUCAACCUUUGAAAGCCGAUGGAUACUGCAGGGCUAGAGUCCGGAAGAGGCGAGUGGAAUUCCUGGUGUAGCGGUGGAAUGCGCAGAUAUCGGGAGGAAUACCUAUGGCGAAGGCAGGUUACUGGGCCAUCACUGACGCUGAGCUGCGAAAGCUAGGGGAGCAAACAGG
rnacentral:rRNA from 1 species